GGCGGCUUACAUGCAGUCGAGCGGGGGAAGGUAGCUUGCUACCGGACCUAGCGGCGGACGGGUGAGUAAUGCUUAGGAAUCUGCCUAUUAGUGGGGGACAACAUCUCGAAAGGGAUGCUAAUACCGCAUACGUCCUACGGGAGAAAGCAGGGGAUCUUCGGACCUUGCGCUAAUAGAUGAGCCUAAGUCGGAUUAGCUAGUUGGUGGGGUAAAGGCCUACCAAGGCGACGAUCUGUAGCGGGUCUGAGAGGAUGAUCCGCCACACUGGGACUGAGACACGGCCCAGACUCCUACGGGAGGCAGCAGUGGGGAAUAUUGGACAAUGGGCGCAAGCCUGAUCCAGCCAUGCCGCGUGUGUGAAGAAGGCCUUAUGGUUGUAAAGCACUUUAAGCGAGGAGGAGGCUACUUUAGAUAAUACCUAGAGAUAGUGGACGUUACUCGCAGAAUAAGCACCGGCUAACUCUGUGCCAGCAGCCGCGGUAAUACAGAGGGUGCAAGCGUUAAUCGGAUUUACUGGGCGUAAAGCGCGCGUAGGCGGCUAAUUAAGUCAAAUGUGAAAUCCCCGAGCUUAACUUGGGAAUUGCAUUCGAUACUGGUUAGCUAGAGUGUGGGAGAGGAUGGUAGAAUUCCAGGUGUAGCGGUGAAAUGCGUAGAGAUCUGGAGGAAUACCGAUGGCGAAGGCAGCCAUCUGGCCUAACACUGACGCUGAGGUGCGAAAGCAUGGGGAGCAAACAGGAUUAGAUACCCUGGUAGUCCAUGCCGUAAACGAUGUCUACUAGCCGUUGGGGCCUUUGAGGCUUUAGUGGCGCAGCUAACGCGAUAAGUAGACCGCCUGGGGAGUACGGUCGCAAGACUAAAACUCAAAUGAAUUGACGGGGGCCCGCACAAGCGGUGGAGCAUGUGGUUUAAUUCGAUGCAACGCGAAGAACCUUACCUGGCCUUGACAUAGUAAGAACUUUCCAGAGAUGGAUUGGUGCCUUCGGGAACUUACAUACAGGUGCUGCAUGGCUGUCGUCAGCUCGUGUCGUGAGAUGUUGGGUUAAGUCCCGCAACGAGCGCAACCCUUUUCCUUAUUUGCCAGCGAGUAAUGUCGGGAACUUUAAGGAUACUGCCAGUGACAAACUGGAAGGAAGGCGGGGAC
rnacentral:rRNA from 1 species